UACGGAGGGGACUAGCGUUGUUCGGAAUUACUGGGCGCAAAGCGCACGUAGGCGGAUUUGUAAGUCAGGGGUGAAAUCCCGGGGCUCAACCUCGGAACUGCCUUUGAUACUGCAAAUCUCGAGUCCGGAAGAGGUGAGUGGAAUUCCUAGUGUAGAGGUGAAAUUCGUAGAUAUUAGGAAGAACACCAGUGGCGAAGGCGGCUCACUGGUCCGGUACUGACGCUGAGACGCGAAAGCGUGGGGAGCGAACAGG
rnacentral:rRNA from 1 species